AGUCACUGACAUUAGAUACCCCUGUAGUCCAGGGUGUAAACGCUGCAGACUUGGUGUUGGAAGUCCUUUGGGGGCAUUCAGUGCCGUAGAGAAGUUAUUAAGUCUGCUACUUGGGGAGUACGUCCGCAAGGAUGAAACUUAAAGGAAUUGGCGGGGGAGCACCGCAACGGGAGGAGCGUGCGGUUUAAUUGGAUUCAACACCGUAAAACUCACCAGGGAAGACUGUUACAUGAAAGCCGAGAUGAAGACUCUGCUAGAUUUUCAG
rnacentral:rRNA from 1 species